rnacentral:rRNA from 1 species
UACGUAGGGGCUAGCGUUGUCCGGAUUUAUUGGGCGUAAAGAGCUCGUAGGCGGCCCGAUAAGUCCGCUGUGAAAGUCAAGGGCUCAACCCUUGAAUGCCGGUGGAUACUGCAGGGCUAGAGUCCGGAAGAGGCGAGUGGAAUUCCGGGUGUAGCGGUGGAAUGCGUAGAGAUCCGGAAGAACACCGGAGGCGAAGGCGGCUUGCUGGGCUUGGUCUGACGCUGAGGCGCGAAAGCGUGGGGAGCGAACAGG